AUGCCCGAGGAGCAGCGGGACUUGUCGGAAGCACCAGGUAAAGUCUGAUUUAUAUGUUUACGAUGAAGAGUGUACAGGAAGUCAGUGAGGACUAGAUAUGAUAUUGGAGAGAGAGCACGCGCUUGCAGACACCUGUGUGAACAGUCAGAGAGGAUGAGCCGCCAUGAGAGGGGAGUCUGGACAAUCAAGCUUCAGGGACAAAUACGAAGAGCUAAAGCAAGACAGGAUAGUGGACAGAGAAGGGGAGAAAUCUAUAUACAAAUGGACGUCUACUCCAGUAACCAAGCUGUGUCCUCUGUGAUAAAGAAUCCAACACAAUCAGCCUCCGGCCCUUCCCUCAUUACAAGCUAGAAAAGGCACGGGCCAUGUCUGCUUUGUGAAGCUGUAUUUCUAGAGCCUGGUACAAGGCCUGGUCAGAGCAACUGUGCACUCAGCACUCAGGCAGUGGAAGCAGGAGGAUCAGGAAUUUAAGAUCAUCUUCAGCUUUAUAGAGUUGGAAGCCAGCCUGGGAUACAUGAGCCCCUGCUUCCAAUGAAUGGACAGCCAAAAAUUGUUAAAUGGGUGCACACGUGUGGAGAGAGGACAACCUCAGACGUCAUUCCUCAGGAGCCAUUCACCUUGUUUACUGAGCCGUGGUUGCUCACCAGUCUGGAGCUGGCCAAGCAAGCUAGGCUGUCUGGCAGCCUCUCACCUCACAGCCUAACGGAGCAGGCAUCCCUAGAUGGAUUGACAGUGCUCCCCUACCUUGAGGCCCAAUCACAGUUUCAAGAACUUUUCUCCUAAUAAAGCAAAUUCCUGAAAGUGGAGCUUGGAGGAGCUGGACCAGAGGAGCUGGAGGAUUGAAUGAGGCAAGAUGAGGUGGAGGAGGACAGAAGGACUGAGGGCAGGGAUCACAAGCUUGGCUUCUCCAGUGGCGGUUCCUACUGAUCAGAACCAUCUGGAGAGCACCAGCUGUGCAGAAAGACAGCAAACAAAAGCACAUCUUGGUCACUCUAAAGGUAUCACAGUUUCUCAGUAGGUCACCGCCUUCAACUUCCAGAAGCAUCAGGCAAUAUGACAAUGCUAUUCUUCAUGUUGGUGCCAUGGUACAACCAUUGCAACUGUGGCUCCAUUUGCUAAGAGUUCUUCUUAUAAAAGGUCAUACGGAUUUCCUCUGUCCAUCCAUCUCAAGUCCUACCAGAGGCUCUGUGGUGGUUUGAAUGACAAUGGCCCGGUAGGAGAUCAGCCCAAAGUUGGUGCUUAAUAGAUCUUAGCUGAGCAAAAGAGGAAUGAGAGGCACUGGAGUUUCCUGCCCAAGAGAAAGCCAACUGCUUGUUCCUUGCCUGUAUCCUUUAGCAUGCUGAACAACCCAGGCAGAUGGAGCCAGAAAAGUGGCUCAGUGGUUAAGAGCAUCUGUUGUUCCCAGAGGACCCAGGUUCAGCUUCUGGGACCCACAUGGUAGCUUAUAACCAUCUAUCAGACUCAAGAGAUCUGAGACCCUCUCUUGACCCCUGUGAGCACCAGUGUAUGCGAUGCUGAGCACCUUCAGUGGCAGCCAUAACUGUGUACCAAUCGGGCACAGGUGAGUGAAAGAAAGGGGAGAGAUGGGAGUGGAGUUGGACAGAAGCCAAGAAGAUGAGACAA
rnacentral:lncRNA from 1 species